rnacentral:rRNA from 1 species
CACCUACGGGACGCAGCAGUGGGGGAUAUUGCACAAUGGAGGAAACUCUGAUGCAGCGACGUCGCGUGAGGGAAGACGGUCCUACGGAUUGUAAACCUCUUUUGCCGGGGAGCAACGGGGUCCUUGCGAGGGCCCGAUGAGAGUACCCGGAGAAAAAGCAUCGGCUAACUCCGUGCCAGCAGCCGCGGUAAUACGGAGGAUGCGAGCGUUAUCCGGAUUUAUUGGGUUUAAGGGGUGCGUAGGCGGGCUGUUAAGUCAGCGGUCAAAUGUCGGGGCUCAACCCCGGCCUGCCGUUGAAACUGGCG